CACGUAGGGCGCGAGCGUUGUCCGGAAUUAUUGGGCGUAAAGAGCUCGUAGGCGGCCUGUUGCGUCCGCUGUGAAAGCCCGGGGCUUAACCCCGGGUCGCAGUGGAUACGGGCAGGCUAGAGGUAGGUAGGGGAGAAUGGAAUUCCCGGUGUAGCGGUGAAAUGCGCAGAUAUCAGGAGGAACACCGGUGGCGAAGGCGGGUCUCUGGGCCGAUACUGACGCUGAGGAGCGAAAGCGUGGGGAGCGAACAGG
rnacentral:rRNA from 1 species